UUCCCGCUGCCAGGCUGGCUUUGGGGCUGGGAAGGGGAAAAGAUCCUUUCUGGCAGCUGGCGAAGGUGGAGGUGCUCCCAGAGGUUGUUGGCUCUUGACAGCAGGAGCUCAGAGAUGGCGAUGGGUUUUGCCAGAGCUGGGUGUGGACCCUUAUACCAAACUGGCACUUGCCUUUCCAGGCACUUGGUAGCCCUCUGGCUGUUUGUAGGGAUGUUGGAUGCCCGGGGGCUUUGCCUGCAGCCGAGGGCACUCCUUCCUCACUCUCUCUCAGCUCUGAACUGGCUUGUGCAGCGGGCUGAGAGUAAAGCAGCGUUUCCUCAUCACCCAAGGGCUUUGCUGGGCAUGGAUGGGGCUGGAGUGGGGGCUGGAUGGGAGGAGCCGGGGCUCCGCUAACCUGAUUAACCAGCUUCCGAACCGAUCUCGCCAAAGCCAAAGCCAAAGCCGGCCGGCUGCCACCUCCUCCCGCCCUCCUCGCAGGGCACGGCUGCUCCUAAGGGACCCCUUCUCCCAGCCUCUGGCAUCCAGGAGCAGCCGGGUGCGGUGGGAGGUGGGAUGCGACCGCGGGCAUCGCCUCUCCGGGCACCGGGAUCUCUUCCCUCAACCCUCGCCUCUCUUCCUCAGCGCCAGCGGCGAGGGCCGGCGGCGGAGCUGGAGAGCUGGAUCCUGCUGAGAGGAUGAAAACAUGGGGCUCAAGUUAUCCUGCCUGAAAGGCUUGAAGAUGUGUGUGAGCAGCGGGAACGGCGGCGACGGGACCCUGACGGUGUCCUCGGGACAGAAGCACCUGCACGUGCCCUCCAUCAUCGUCACGCCGCCCACGCCCACGGGGACCACGCUGUCCCGCGAGGGGCGGCGCGGCGAGGGCCCGUCACCCUGCAGCCAGUGCUGAGCGGGGACACGGGGACAGCCAGCCCGGCAGGACCUGUCCCCGCUCGGCCGCGAUGGAGCCGCAGCCUGGAGGAUGCGGCUCGGCCGGACGCGGCUCCGCGGGAGCUCCGCAGGGACACACGGAGCACCCACGCGGGUGGGUUUGGACAACAGGGACUGCGUUUUGUCCCUUUUCCUAACAGCACCAGGGAGGGGGAUCCCCCCCCCCCCCCCCGAUGAAUAAAACCCCUGGGGUUCCGCA